ACCUGCAAAAUCGUUAAUCAAAAACAUUUGUCAUGUACAGCCAGAAAAAAGAUCCCACAUGAUUUCAUUUUAACUAAGUGGGGUGAAAUAUUUUCUAGUUGGGAAAUUAUUGUUUGGCUAAGUUUGCUUGACAAACUUUUGACAAUAUACAUGUGGUUGUGGUUGUGGGAUGGCGGCAUCUCUCAAUGGGUGAAAGGAAUUGAUUUUUGAGGGAAUGAAAAAAAAAUGGUUGAAUCCAUUUGUCUCAUACUACGAGUAUAGUGAGAAAAUAUAUUUUCAUACACUAUACACUGUUGGGAUGGUGAGAAAGGAUCUAUUUUACAUUCACAGGGUUAUAAUUGGUGAUGCCAUUGAAAUUCUUAUAAAAAUGGGAAAUGCCUUACUUUGAGUUUUGAAUUAUUGAUUUACAUUUAUGACAAAAUCUAAAAAUAUCACUGAUCCAAUUGGAGUACUUCUACGUACAGAUGGACUUUAACAGAAAACUAAAGAGUAACGGCAUAACUGUAUUUUUUUAUGAUAUUAAGUGGUAGAGAUGUCAAAUUGUUACCGUAAGUGGAGGGAUUAUUGAUCAAAUCAAGAACUAACGGAAUCCAUUCAUUGACUCGCUUUAGACAUUGGCCACUUUUGGAUUUGACCCUCUGUGAUGGAAUACAACCGAGUGGACCUAAGCCAUGGAAGACUAUUUUUCGUGCUCCCAGUUGAUAAAGACUCUGGUAUAAUCAGAUUCUUUAGUAGUUGAUUGAAAUAUAGAUAGAUGUAUGAAUGAUACUGAUGUGAAGAAGUAUUUCUUACUAGAACAUAGUUUGUUCAGAUAUUCUAUAAAGUUAAUUUAACAUGCAUAUACUGCAUUGAUUUUUA